rnacentral:rRNA from 2 species
AACAAGGAUUCCCCUAGUAACGGCGAGUGAAGCGGGAAGAGCUCAAAUUUAAAAUCUGACGGUGUAUUCCGUCCGAGUUGUAGCCUAGAGAAGCAUCAUCCGCGCUGGACCAUGUACAAGUCUCUUGGAACAGAGCGUCAUAGAGGGUGAGAAUCCCGUCCUUGACAUGGACUCCCAGUGCUUUGUGUUGUGCUCUCGACGAGUCGAGUUGUUUGGGAAUGCAGCUCAAAAUGGGUGGUAAAUUCCAUCUAAAGCUAAAUAUUGGCGAGAGACCGAUAGCGAACAAGUACCGUGAGGGAAAGAUGAAAAGCACUUUGGAGAGAGAGUUAAACAGUACGUGAAAUUGUUAAAAGGGAAAC